UGGUUCAUGGAUUUGGUGUAUGGAUUUGGUUCAUGAAAUUGGAUAUGGUUCAUGGAUUUGGUGUAUGGAUUUGGUUCAUGAACUUGGAUAUGGUUCAUGAAUUUGGUGUAUGGAUUUGGUUCAUGAACUUGGAUAUGGUUCAUGGGUUUGGUGUAUGGAUUUGGUUCAUGGGUUCAGUGUAUGGAUUUGGUUCAUGAACUUUGAUAUGGUUCAUGGGUUCGGUGUAUGGAUUUGGUUCAUGAACUUUGAUAUGGUUCAUGGGUUCGGUGUAUGGAUUUGGUUCAUGGGUUCGGUGUAUGGAUUUGGUUCAUGAACUUUGAUAUGAUUCAUGGGUUCGGCGUAUGGAUUUAGUUCAUGGUUUAAGGGAUUUGGGUUUAGUUUAACGACUUUUCGGUCAUUUGGAUUUGGGUUUAGAUUAGCGACUUCUCGGUCGUUUGAAAUUUGGAUUUAGUUUAACGAUUUUUCGGUCGUUUGAAAUUUGGGUUUAGUUUAACGACUUUGCGGUCGUUUGAAAUUUGGGUUUAGUUUAGCGAUGUUUCGGUCGUUUGGUUUAGUUUAGCGACGUUUCGGUCGUUUGAUUUGAUUGUUUAGUUUAACGACUUUGCGGUCGUUUGAUUUGAUUGUUUAGUUUAAUGACUUUGCGGUCGUUGGUUUUAUUUGUGGACUUUGGGUUUUGGCAUUUUAUUUGUGGACUUUGGGUUUUGGGAUUUAUUUGUGGACUUUGGGUUUUGAAAUUUUAUUUGUGGACUUUGGGUUUUGAAAUUUUAUUUGUGGACUUUGGAUUUUGAAAUUUUAUUUGUGGACUUUGGGUUUUGGGUUGGGUUAAACCUAUUGUAUUUGAUUUGGAAUGAACCGUUAUGCUUUGGUUCGGGACCCAUCAAGACUUGGUUUGGGUUGGAUUCUUUACAGUUUGGUUCGGAUUGGACGACUUCGGU
rnacentral:lncRNA from 1 species